rnacentral:lncRNA from 1 species
ACGUUAAAUCCGAUGCCUCGUGUAAAGAGAGUGCCACGCUCUUUGCACGUUAAGAACCCUUGCAACAACUCUGUUGAGGGGUCCGUAGGUGGCCUGUUGCAAGGCAAAAUUUCUGUCCCUAUCCAAUAUACCCUCAUUUUCCAGUGGCAGUCCAAAUUUCCCCGACCAUCAUCCUAGAUGGCCUCUAUUACAACAACCUACCUAUUGUUUUUAUUGUGAACUUGUUCUCGUCUUGAAUAUGCAUGAAAUAUUUGCCACUGGACGUUAAGCAACCAACAAUCAAUCAAUCAAUCAUAAAUAAAUAAUCAUCAGGUUUUGUGCUGAAACUGCUCAAACACCUUCCUAAUAAAAUGUCUCAUUUUUCUGUAAAAAGAUUGACUUUUUUUCUUAUUUACUAAUGGGUAACAUGAGUAGUAUAGUACUUGAGCGAGUUUAGCGCACCCCCCCCCCAAAAAAAACCCACAUUUCAAGUAAAAAAGCCCUAAAUUUUAAUAAAAAAAGCAAAAAACACUCAAAUAAAACACUAAAAUUUCUUACUCCCAAAAAAAUUUUUUAUCCCGAAAAAAAAACACCUUAAAAAUCCUCCCCAAAAAAAACCAAAAAAAUUCCCCCCCAAAAAAAAAAAAAAAAGCCGGGAGAACUGGCAGAGAAAGAAUUAUGUGGAUUUUAAGAGAAAACAACCUACAGCUCCUGAUUUAUAUCCAGAAUUACCUGUAGAAGAUGGACAAAAUUAUAGACUACAAAAAAUAACAGAAAUAAAAAAAACAUUAAUUAAAAACCAAUUGUUCAGAGAACAAUUGAAGGUCUUUCCAUCAAAACAAUGUAUUUUGAUAUGAAAGUUGUGAAACUAAGUUUAAAAUGUCAUUUCAAUCGUCAAAUGAUAGCUUCUAGUACGCUGAUUCCAAAAAUAUUUGGUUUCCAAACAUUUUUUUUU